rnacentral:ncRNA from 4 species
AGUGGGGGACUGCGUUCGCGCUUUCCCCUG